rnacentral:rRNA from 1 species
GCACGGGGGGGGGUGCUAAUACAUGCAAGUCGAACGCUUUGUGGUUCAACUGAUUUGAAGAGCUUGCUCAGAUAUGACGAUGGACAUUGCAAAGAGUGGCGAACGGGUGAGUAACACGUGGGAAACCUACCUCUUAGCAGGGGAUAACAUUUGGAAACAGAUGCUAAUACCGUAUAACAAUGACAACCGCAUGGUUGUUAUUUAAAAGAUGGUUCUGCUAUCACUAAGAGAUGGUCCCGCGGUGCAUUAGCUAGUUGGUAAGGUAAUGGCUUACCAAGGCGAUGAUGCAUAGCCGAGUUGAGAGACUGAUCGGCCACAAUGGGACUGAGACACGGCCCAUACUCCUACGGGAGGCAGCAGUAGGGAAUCUUCCACAAUGGGCGAAAGCCUGAUGGAGCAACGCCGCGUGUGUGAUGAAGGGUUUCGGCUCGUAAAACACUGUUGUAAGAGAAGAAUGACAUUGAGAGUAACUGUUCAAUGUGUGACGGUAUCUUACCAGAAAGGAACGGCUAAAUACGUGCCAGCAGCCGCGGUAAUACGUAUGUUCCAAGCGUUAUCCGGAUUUAUUGGGCGUAAAGCGAGCGCAGACGGUUAUUUAAGUCUGAAGUGAAAGCCCUCAGCUCAACUGAGGAAUUGCUUUGGAAACUGGAUGACUUGAGUGCAGUAGAGGAAAGUGGAACUCCAUGUGUAGCGGUGAAAUGCGUAGAUAUAUGGAAGAACACCAGUGGCGAAGGCGGCUUUCUGGACUGUAACUGACGUUGAGGCUCGAAAGUGUGGGUAGCAAACAGGAUUAGAUACCCUGGUAGUCCACACCGUAAACGAUGAGUGCUAGGUGUUUGAGGGUUUCCGCCCUUAAGUGCCGCAGCUAACGCAUUAAGCACUCCGCCUGGGGAGUACGACCGCAAGGUUGAAACUCAAAGGAAUUGACGGGGACCCGCACAAGCGGUGGAGCAUGUGGUUUAAUUCGAAGCAACGCGAAGAACCUUACCAGGUCUUGACAUCCCUUGACAACUCCAGAGAUGGAGCGUUCCCUUCGGGGACAAGGUGACAGGUGGUGCAUGGUUGUCGUCAGCUCGUGUCGUGAGAUGUUGGGUUAAGUCCCGCAACGAGCGCAACCCUUAUUACUAGUUGCCAGCAUUCAGUUGGGCACUCUAGUGAGACUGCCGGUGACAAACCGGAGGAAGGUGGGGAUGACGUCAAAUCAUCAUGCCCCUUAUGACCUGGGCUACACACGUGCUACAAUGGCGUAUACAACGAGUUGCCAACCCGCGAGGGUGAGCUAAUCUCUUAAAGUACGUCUCAGUUCGGAUUGUAGGCUGCAACUCGCCUACAUGAAGUCGGAAUCGCUAGUAAUCGCGGAUCAGCACGCCGCGGUGAAUACGUUCCCGGGUCUUGUACACACCGCCCGUCACACCAUGAGAGUUUGUAACACCCAAAGCCGGUGGGGUAACCUUCGGGAGCCAGCCGUCUAAGGGGACCAGGAAAA